rnacentral:rRNA from 1 species
UGAGUCCUACGGGGGGCAGCAGUAGGGAAUCUUCCACAAUGGGCGAAAGCCUGAUGGAGCAACGCCGCGUGAGUGAAGAAGGUUUUCGGAUCGUAAAGCUCUGUUGUUGGUGAAGAAGGAUAGAGGUAGUAACUGGCCCCUAUUUGACGGUAAUCAACCAGAAAGUCACGGCUAACUACGUGCCAGCAGCCGCGGUAAUACGUAGGUGGCAAGCGUUGUCCGGAUUUAUUGGGCGUAAAGCGAGCGAAGGCGGUAAGAUAAGUCUGAUGUGAAAGCCCACGGCUUAACCGAGGCAUUGCAUCGUG